rnacentral:rRNA from 1 species
UACGGGGGGAGCAAGCGUUGUUCGGAUUUACUGGGCGUAAAGGGCGCGUAGGCGGCCACGACAAGUCACUUGUGAAAUCUCCGGGCUUAACUCGGAACGGUCAAGUGAUACUGUCGGGCUAGAGUACAGAAGGGGCAACUGGAAUUCUCGGUGUAGCGGUGAAAUGCGUAGAUAUCGAGAGGAACACCUGCGGCGAAGGCGGGUUGCUGGGCUGAUACUGACGCUGAUGCGCGAAAGCCAGGGGAGCGAACGGG